rnacentral:tRNA from 1 species
GGUGGCUCAGUGGUAGAGUGCCUGCCUUGCAUGCAUGAGGUCCUGGGUUCGAUUUCCCAGCACCA